UACGGGGGGAGCAAGCGUUGUUCGGAUUUACUGGGCGUAAAGGGCGCGUAGGCGGCCACCGCAAGUCGACUGUGAAAUCUCUAGGCUUAACUCAGAACGGUCAACUGAUACUGUCGGACUAGAGUGCAGAAGGGGCAACUGGAAUUCUCGGUGUAGCGGUGAAAUGCGUAGAUAUCGAGAGGAACACCUGCGGCGAAGGCGGGUUGCUGGGCUGACACUGACGCUGAGGCGCGAAAGCUAGGGGAGCGAACGGG
rnacentral:rRNA from 1 species